GACGAACGCUGGCGGCGUGCUUAACACAUGCAAGUCGAACGAGGCCCAUUCUUCGGGGUGGGUUCUAGUGGCGAACGGGUGAGUAACACGUGGGCAACCUGCCCCUGGCUCUGGGAUAACUCCAAGAAAUUGGGGCUAAUACCGGAUAUGACCGCUGACCGCAUGGUCUGGUGUGGAAAGUUUUUUCGGCUGGGAUGGCCCGCGGCCUAUCAGCUUGUUGGUGAGGUAACGGCUCACCAAGGCGACGAUCAGUAGCUGGUCUGAGAGGAUGAUCAGCCACAUUGGGACU
rnacentral:rRNA from 1 species